AAGACUAUACUUUCAGGGAUCAUUUCUAUAGUAUGUUAAUGGUAUUUAUAUACUUUUCCUAUAUUUUGAAGCUACUCUCUGCCCUGAUCCAGC
ensembl:snoRNA U3 Small nucleolar RNA U3